rnacentral:rRNA from 1 species
GAUCCUGGCUCAGGAUGAACGCUAGCGGCAGGCUUAACACAUGCAAGUCGAGGGGCAGCAUGAACAAAGCUUGCUUUGUUUGAUGGCGACCGGCGCACGGGUGCGUAACACGUAUCCAAUCUGCCCGCGGCGUCGGGGAUAGCCCAUCGAAAGAUGGAUUAAUACCCGAUGGUGUGGUCACUCCGCAGUGGGGUUCCACUAAGGUUUUCCGGCCGCGGAUGAGGAUGCGUAUGAUUAGGUAGUAGGCGGGGUAACGGCCCACCUAGCCUUCGAUCAUUAGGGGUUCUGAGAGGAAGGUCCCCCACACUGGAACUGAGACACGGUCCAGACUCCUACGGGAGGCAGCAGUGAGGAAUAUUGGUCAAUGGGCGAGAGCCUGAACCAGCCAAGUAGCGUGAAGGAAGACUGCCCUAUGGGUUGUAAACUUCUUUGUUCGGGAAUAAAGUGCAGUAUGUAUACUGUUUGUAUGUACCGUUCGAAUAAGCAUCGGCUAAUUCCGUG